AUUGAACGCUGGCGGCAGGCUUAACACAUGCAAGUCGAGCGGAGAUGAGGUGCUUGCACCUUAUCUUAGCGGCGGACGGGUGAGUAAUGCUUAGGAAUCUGCCUAUUAGUGGGGGACAACAUUCCGAAAGGAAUGCUAAUACCGCAUACGCCCUACGGGGGAAAGCAGGGGAUCUUCGGACCUUGCGCUAAUAGAUGAGCCUAAGUCGGAUUAGCUAGUUGGUGGGGUAAAGGCCUACCAAGGCGACGAUCUGUAGCGGGUCUGAGAGGAUGAGCGGCCACACUGGGAAUGAGACACGGCCCAGACUCCUACGGGAGGCAGCAGUGGGGAAUAUUGGACAAUGGGCGCAAGCCUGAUCCAGCCAUGCCGCGUGUGUGAAGAAGGCCUUAUGGUUGUAAAGCACUUUAAGCGAGGAGGAGGCUACUUUAGAUAAUACCUAGAGAUAGUGGACGUUACUCGCAGAAUAAGCACCGGCUAACUCUGUGCCAGCCGCCGCGGUAAUAC
rnacentral:rRNA from 1 species